GAAGAGGGGCAGGAUCACCUCCCCCAACCUCCUGACAAUACUCCACCUAAUGUACCCCAAAAUCCAGUUGACCUUCUUAGCCACAAGGAUAUGCUUCUCACGGACAGCUUGUUGUCAUUCUCCACAGAGCUGCUUUCCAGUAGGUCUGCCCCCAGCCUGUCCUGGUGCGUGGGGUUAUUCCUCCCCAGGUCAAGGACCCUGCAUUUGCCUUUGCUGAACUCCAGACAGUUCAUCUCUGCCCAUCUGUCCAAUCUGUGGAGGUCCUUCUGAAGGGCCACUCCUCCAGGCUUUGUGUCAGCGAACUUCCUGAAAAGGUGUCUAAGCAUUGACCCAAGUUACUGGUGUCAAGCAGGCUCAUUACAGUGUACAGAAAGCUCUCUGUGCAACAGAUCAACCUGAAGAGGCUUAUCUUUGUGGCUGCUGUCUAUACAGUCAUAAUUAAAUAAAAGCAGAUGGAGAAGGCUCUAAAUAAUCAUGACUGCAAGAUAAAUAAAACACUGGGAUAUUGUGUAGCCUGCUGCAAAGUAUUGUUUGUUCAGUGCCAAGUAAUCUGCAGAGCUAUUAACUGCUCCUGUGAAAGAUUCAGUUAAAAAGUGGGACAAAGUACCCAACCAAAGCUUUUGAAAGAAUAUAUAAUCCACAUUGCCUUAACCCUCCAAAUACCUAUCUGCAUAACAGAAUAAAAGUGCAGGUAUUGUAUAUUUUAGAGAUAUAUAAGAUGACCAUUUCGGAUUUUUUAUCUGAAUCUCCUUUCUGAUCUGUGCUGCAGAUCUAUUCCUUGCUUGCAUGUUUGCAUGCUCUUCUGGCCAGAUGUUUAAAGUACUAUUGUUCUUUGUAUACAGGGAAAAUAAAAUGUCCUUUAAAAAACUCACACAUAAUAAAGAAACUCAAACCUACAAAUAUAUCAAUGGAAAAUGUUUUCUUUUCUAAAAUGGUCUCUCAGUGGGUGUGACCCAAGACCACAGAAGGUGUCACAGACUGUUGU